rnacentral:rRNA from 1 species
UACAGAGGUCCCAAGCGUUGUUCGGAUUUACUGGGCGUAAAGGGUGCGUAGGCGGUCGGGUAAGUCUGACGUGAAAUCUCCGGGCCUAACCCGGAAACUGCGUUGGAAACUAUCAGGCUAGAGGAAUGGAGGGGAGACUGGAAUACUUGGUGUAGCAGUGAAAUGCGUAGAUAUCAAGUGGAACACCAGUGGCGAAGGCGAGUCUCUGGACAUUUCCUGACUCUGAGGCGCGAAAGCGUGGGGAGCAAACAGG